rnacentral:rRNA from 1 species
GACUCUCGGCAACGGAUAUCUCGGCUCUCGCAUCGAUGAAGAACGUAGCAAAAUGCGAUACUUGGUGUGAAUUGCAGAAUCCCGUGAACCAUCGAGUCUUUGAACGCAAGUUGCGCCCGAAGCCUUCCGGCCGAGGGCACGCCUGCCUGGGCGUCACGCAUCG